UACGUAGGGGGCGAGCGUUGUCCGGAAUCAUUGGGCGUAAAGCGCGUGUAGGCGGCUCGGUAAGUCCGGUGUGAAACCUUGGGGCUCAACCCCAAGCCUGCACUGGAUACUGUCGAGCUCGAGUCCGAGAGGGGAGAGCGGAAUUCCUAGUGUAGCGGUGAAAUGCGCAGAUAUUAGGAAGAACACCGGUGGCGAAGGCGGCUCUCUGGAACGGUACUGACGCUGAGACGCGAAAGCGUGGGGAGCGAACAGG
rnacentral:rRNA from 1 species